GCGGAUAUAGUGUAGUGGUAGCACGCGUCCUUCGGGUGGACGAAGUCCUGGGUUCAAUCCCCAGUAUCCGCC
rnacentral:tRNA from 1 species